GCUGCAUAUAAGCAGGUCCCAUCUGCCAUGAAGCUGCUUGUGUCAUGACGUCGUAUCAUUUUGGUUCCUUUGUCUGCUGAACUGUGCUGGCCUCUUUUGCUGCUCCUCCAAAACCCGGACUGAUCUGUUCGUUUGUUUGCUUGGUGCUGGGAAGCUGCGCUGCAUAGGCGGAAUUGUGAAACAGUUUAUUUGGCAGCCUGGUAAUGCAACAGCCUCCGGAUGAGUCUUGAUUAUCAUUAUACUGGAUUUCACACUCGCUGCUGUUUUGCCUAAAAGGAAC